AUGUCUUCGGCCACCCCCCCUCCGCCGGCGUCACCGAACCCGGAGGCGCCUCCGCGCGUCGUCCGCCCGCCGCCUAGGCGGUCACCGAGGUCGCCUGGGCCGCCGCUGUGGGCCAAGCGGCGGCCCUCCGUCUCCGUCGACUACGACCGCGGCCGCCGCACAGUCCGGGUCGAGGUGGACGGCGUAGGUGCCGACGCGCUCCCCGCGCGGCACCGCCUCCGCGUGGAGGGGAGCCGGUGGCAGCGGGACUGCAAGGUGUCCCAGGUCGCCGCGCGCGUGCUCGCGCUCCCGCGGGCCGACACCCAUGCCGUCGACGCCGUGCUCAACUGCUGGGCCGGGCGCUUCGCCUGCCGUAACUUCCCUCUCCUUAUUCGUGAAAUGGCCUUUUCUGGGUCCUUGCAACAUGCUGUAUAUGUGUUCUGCUGGAUGAAAAACCAGGAGAACUACUGUGCCCGUAAUGACAUUUAUGGUAUGAUGAUACGAUUACAUGCCAGACACAACCAGGUUGAUCAAGCACGUGGCCUGUUCUUUGAGAUGCAAGAAUGGCGGUGCAAGCCAGAUGCUGAUAUAUACAACUCUUUGAUCAAUGCUCAUGCUCGGGCUGGUCUAUGGCGCUGGGCCAUCAACAUUAUGGAUGAUAUGCUUCGUGCAGCUAUACCUCCUAGCCGAGCUACAUAUAAUAAUGUCAUAAAUGCAUGUGGUGCUGCUGGUAACUGGAAAAAGGCUUUAGAGCUUUGUAAGAAGAUGAUAAGAAAUGGUGUAGGGCCAGACUUGGUUACACACAACAUUGUAUUAUCUGCUUUCAAGAAUGGCUCUCAGUAUUCGGAAGCCAUAGGUUACUUUGAUAUGAUGAAAGGAGCAAAUAUUGCCCCUGAUACUUUCACUUUGAAUAUUGUCAUCCAUUGCCUUGUAAAAGCCGGACAGCACGGAGAUGCUGUCGAUUUGUUAAACUCGAUGAGGGAGAAAAGAGCACAGUGUCCUCCAGAUGUUGUUACGUACACUAGCAUAAUGCAUUCUUAUUAUGUUUGUGGGCAAGUGAAAAAUUGCAAGGCAGUCUUUGAUAUGAUGGUUGCUGAAGGAGUUAAACCUAAUAUUGUAUCAUAUAAUGCACUUUUGGGUGCUUAUGCCUCACAUGGGAUGCACACUGAGGCCUUGGGAUUUUUCAAGUUACUGAAACAAAAUGGUCUGCGACCUGAUGUAGUUUCCUAUACCACUUUACUGAAUGCCUAUGGUAGGUCAGCACAGCCUGAAAAAGCUAGGGAGGUUUUUAACGAGAUGAGAAAGAACUCAUGCAAGCCAAACAAAGUCAGUUAUAAUGCACUAAUUGAUGCUUAUGGAUCUGCUGGAAUGUUCAAGGAGGCCAUUAGCUUACUGCAUGAAAUGGAGAAGGAUGGCAUUCCACCAGACGUUGUUUCAAUAAGUACUCUGUUGACUGCCUGUGGCCGCUGCAGGCAGACAACAAAAAUUGACACAGUUCUUGAAGAAGCAAAAUUUCGAGGGAUUGAACUUAAUAUUGUUGCGUACAACUCGGGCAUUGGAACCUAUUUAAGUUUUGGAGAUUAUGAGAAAGCUUUGGAGUUCUAUGCCACAAUGAUGGCGAGCAAUGUGAAUCCAAAUGCUGUAACUUAUAAUAUACUCAUCAGUGGAUUGUGUAAAUUGGGAAAAUAUGCAGAAUCUCUGAAAUUUUUUGAAGACAUGGUGGACUUGCGAAUUCCUUUAACCAAGGAGGUUUACUCAUCCUUGAUUUGUUCAUAUGUCAAACAGGACAAACUAGCUGAAGCGGAAUCUACUUUUAGUUAUAUGAAAACAUCUGGCUGCUUCCCUGAUGUUCUAACAUAUACUGCUAUGAUUCAAGCCUAUAUUGAUCAUGGGAGUUGGACGAGUGUGUGGGACCUAUUCAAAGAGAUGGAAGGAAAUGCCAUACUGCCAGAUGCCAUUAUAUGCUCAUCCCUCAUGGAAGCAUUGAAUAAAGGAAAUCAACAUGAAAGGGUCCUUCAGUUGAUGAAAUUCAUGCACGAUCAAUCCAUCGAAUUGAACCAAAAAGCUUAUUUUGAAAUAAUAGCUUCAUGCAGCAUGCUACGGGACUGGAGAACUGCAAGUGAAAUAAUUGAACAUUUGGAUUCCUCUCUCCCAUCCAUUUCUGUUGGGAAGCUAAACCAUCUUCUGAAUUUUCUUGGAAAAUGUGGGAAGACAGAGAGUAUGAUGAAGCUGUUUUACAAGAUGGUGAGUGCAUGCUCUACUGUAGGCCUUUCUACUUAUAAGGUUCUGCUGAGAAAUCUCUUAGCAGUUGGAAAAUGGAGAAAGUAUGUCGAGGUUUUGCAGUGGAUGGAGGAUGCUGGAGUCCGUCCAACACUAUAUAUGUAUCAAAAUGUUCUUCCAUAUAUUUGGAGGGACAAUAGCAUGGAUUAUGUCACUCUUAUGCAGGAAAAAAUAAAGCCGGGAGAUGAGUACGUGACCGAGGAAUCUGUUGAGUACGCUAACGAGGAUCAAGCUUUCGACAACUCUGAGAACUUUGUAGGCAAGAUGACCAUACCCUCGAAAUCACUUAUAUCUUUGCUUUGCUAG
rnacentral:rRNA from 1 species